CGGCACAAAUACGGUAACGUCUAAGUGACUGGAGCACCAUAUUGCAAGCUGAGUUGGACGGUACCGGCACUGUGCUGAUGCAUGGUUCAUAAAGGCUGGGGACGAAUUUGUACACGAGGAUAAUAUGAAGAGAGAAAAAAGAAUAAAAUGUAUCUACAGGUUUGGGCAACGGAUUAAGAGAUCACUAAACCAGGUUACUUGGACUCGAGGACUGUGGAUCAAGUCGAGUAAACUCAUUGUAUGAUCAAGUAAUCCUGGAGAAUUCACUUUGCAAAUUCAACUGGACCGUGUUCACCUUAUUUUGUAAUGUGGUCAAAUCUGUCGCACUGGCAAGCAGACAAGCGUCAUCAGCAAAUAAUUUGCUCAAAAGAUUUGAGCUGUUAGAUAAGUCGUUUAUGAAAUUCAGAAACGCAAGAGGUCCAAGUACAGAUCCUUGCACAAUUCCACAAUGAAUGGGCAUCAUUGGAGAUCUAUUGGAACCCAAUUCAACAUAUUGGAAUCUAUUGGCCAGAUACAAAAGACUUAUGUUUGGUUUAUCAUCUGCACCAGAAAAGUAUCAGCAAAUAAUCAGAGACGGUUGUGAAGAACUGUCGGG